rnacentral:lncRNA from 1 species
UUUUUAACUUGAAAGACAAAAUUGGAAGAAAUGUGAAGGAGGAAAAGAUCUAAAAGGUCAAAAGCAGGAUGGCCCGAGAUUCUUCUAAAAAACUGAGAGUCACUGUUCAAACUGGGAGGUCUUAGUUUAAGCAGAAAUCAGUUCUGGGAAGUACUGUGAGUGAACCAAAUGCAACAGGGAUACCAAACCAGGCUUAGCCAGGCUGGAUGUUUGAGUCUCUAACAUCUAUUUUGCUUAGCACAGAACAGAGGCUGGAUUAAAGUAUGGAAAGAGGAUCUUCCAGCCAGAAAUAAGCAGAAGUUGGAAACAAAAAUCUGUCCCGUGUUUAAUUUGUUUAUUUUUCUGCUUUGAUAGUACAGUUAUUAUUGCAUUCUCAGUUUCUGCCUAAGAGCUAUUUUUGAGAAGCUAAACACAAACAAAAAUCUACACUUAUUGGUCUAGUAGGUAUUAAGGGAUUUGAAAUUUUAUGCAAAUUCUAAGUGAUAGAUUAUCUUACUAAACCCAUUAUUUUGUGUCUGAGAAUUAAGGAGAAGCCUAGGCAGUAAAGAAAGCAUUUUUAGAAGAAAUAAAGUGAGCUAAAAUGUAGGGGAAAAUGAUACAAAGUUGGGGGUGGUAGUGAAGGAUAAUAUGUAUGUAAAAGAAAUCUUUUAGACUUAAUGGUUUGAACUAUUUUCUUAACUAUAGUGCAAUGC